rnacentral:rRNA from 1 species
CCUACGGGAGGCAGCAGUGAGGAAUAUUGGUCAAUGGGCUCGAGCCUGAACCAGCCAAGUCGCGUGAGGGAAGACGGUCCUAUGGGUUGUAAACCUCUUUUGUCGGGGAGCAAAAGGCGCCACGCGUGGCGUUCCGAAAGUACCCGAAGAAAAAGCAUCGGCUAACUCCGUGCCCGCAGCCGCGGUAAUACGGGGGAUGCGAGCGUUAUCCGGAUUUAUUGGGUUUAAAGGGUGCGCAGGCGGAAGAGCAAGUCAGCGGUAAAAUUGAGAGGCUCAACCUCUUCGAGCCGUUGAAACUGGUUUUCUUGAGUGGGCGAGAAGUAUGCGGAAUGCGGGGUGUAGCGGUGAAAUGCAUAGAUAUCACGCAGAACUCCGAUUGCGAAGGCAGCAUACCGGCGCUCAACUGACGCUCAGGCACGAAAGUGUGGGUAUCGAACAGGAUUAGAUACCCUUGUAGUC